rnacentral:rRNA from 1 species
CCCUUAGAUGUUCUGGGCCGCACGCGCGCUACACUGAAGGGAUCAGCGUGUUUUCCCUUCCCGAGAGGGACGGGUAACCCGCUGAACCCCCUUCGUGGUAGGGAUCGGAGCUUGCAAUUGUUCUCCGUGAACCAGGAAUUCCCAGUAAGCGCAAGUCAUAAGCUUGCGUUGAUUACGUCCCUGCCCUUUGUACACACCGCCCGUCGCUACUACCGAUUGAACGUUUUAGUGAGGUAUUUGGGCUGGGCCUUGGGAGGUUUCGGCCUCCCUUGUUGCUCGGAAAGACUCCCAAACUUGAGCGUUUAGAGGAAGUAAAAGUCGUAACA